UACGUAGGGGGCUAGCGUUGUCCGGAAUCAUUGGGCGUAAAGCGCACGUAGGCGGCCUGAUAAGUCGGGUGUGAAAGCCCUGGGCUCAACCCAGGAAGUGCACUCGAAACUGUCAGGCUUGAAUAUGGAAGAGGGUCGCGGAAUUCCCGGUGUAGAGGUGAAAUUCGUAGAUAUCGGGAGGAACACCAGUGGCGAAGGCGGCGACCUGGGCCAAUAUUGACGCUGAGGUGCGAAAGCGUGGGGAGCAAACAGG
rnacentral:rRNA from 1 species